ACUACGGGAGGCAGCAGUGAGGAAUAUUGGUCAAUGGACGAGAGUCUGAACCAGCCAAGUCGCGUGAAGGAUGACUGCCCUCUGGUUUGUAAAUUUCUUUUAUAAAGGAAUAAAACGAGACGCGUGUGCCGUUUUGCAUGUACUUUAUGAAUAAGGAACGGCUAACUCCGUUCCAGCAGCCGCGGUAAUACGGAGGAUCCGAGCGUUAUCCGGAUUUAUUGGGUGUAAAGGGAGCGUAGAUGGGUAGUUAAGUCAGUUGUGAAAGUGUGCGGCUCAACCGUAAAAUUGCAAUUGAUACUGGCAGUCUUGAGUACAGGUGAGGCAGGCGGAAUUCGUGGUGUAGCGGUGAAAUGCUUAGAUAUUACGAAGAACCCCGGUUGCGAAGGCAGUCUACUAAACUGUGACUGACAUUGAUGCUCGAAAGCGUGGGUAUCAAACAGGAUUAGAUACCCGAGUAGUC
rnacentral:rRNA from 1 species